rnacentral:rRNA from 1 species
GGACGAACGCUGGCGGCGUGCUUAACACAUGCAAGUCGAACGGAAAGGCCCUGCUUUUGUGGGGUGCUCGAGUGGCGAACGGGUGAGUAACACGUGAGUAACCUGCCCUUGACUUUGGGAUAACUUCAGGAAACUGGGGCUAAUACCGGAUAGGAGCUCCUGCUGCAUGGUGGGGGUUGGAAAGUUUCGGCGGUUGGGGAUGGACUCGCGGCUUAUCAGCUUGUUGGUGGGGUAGUGGCUUACCAAGGCUUUGACGGGUAGCCGGCCUGAGAGGGUGACCGGCCACAUUGGGACUGAGAUACGGCCCAGACUCCUACGGGAGGCAGCAGUGGGGAAUAAUGCACAAUGGGCGGAAGCCUGAUGCAGCAACGCCGCGUGCGGGAUGACGGCCUUCGGGUUGUAAACCGCUUUCGCCUGUGACGAAGCGUGAGUGACGGUAAUGGGUAAAGAAGCACCGGCUAACUACGUG